rnacentral:rRNA from 1 species
UUGCCAGCCGCUCAGAACUCAAAGGAAUUGACGGGGCCGCACAAGCGGUGGAGCAUGUGGUUUAAUUCGAUGAUACGCGAGGAACCUUACCUGGGCUCAAAUGUAUGUUGACGUAUUCUGAAAGGGAUACUUCUUCGGACAAUAUACAAGGUGCUGCAUGGUUGUCGUCAGCUCGUGCCGUGAGGUGUCGGGUUAAGUCCCAUAACGAGCGCAACCCCUACCUUUAGUUGCCAUCAGGUAAUGCUGGGGACUCUAAAGGAACUGCCUACGCAAGUAGUGAGGAAGGCGGGGAUGACGUCAAAUCAGCACGGCCCUUACGUCCAGGGCUACACACGUGCUACAAUGGCCGAUACAGAGGGCAGCUACCUGGUGACAGGAUGCAAAUCUCCAAAGUCGGUCUCAGUUCGGAUCGGAGUCUGCAACCCGACUCCGUGAAGUUGGAUUCGCUAGUAAUCGCGCAUCAGCCAUGGCGCGGUGAAUACGUUCCCGGGCCUU